CACAACGCUGCGCCUUGGUUCAAUCCAUGCUCCUCCUCUUUGGAUGAAGAGGAGGAGGACUACCGUUACACCGCUUGUCAUUAACAAAAGUCCUGUAAUCAUAAUAAUGGAUGUUUCCACCUAAAUUGUGUUAUAAUUACAGUGUUAAUCACACCAGUUAAAUGUUGCUAUGAUUGCUAGAUUCGUUGAGCUCCUCUGCAAGCAGCUCCUUAUCAAAAUACAGUGGAGACAAUGAGGGGGACUCCAUUAUAUUGCAGCAGAGUCCUGCUACAAGAAAGAAAGCGGAGGAUAAUCAUCUAUCUCAUAUGAUUGAAGACAUUCUGAAGAACAAACCUGGAGGUGAGAGGAUCGUGAAUGAGUAUGCUCGGACAAAAAGCCUAACAGAUAGCCGAAGACGCGAUAUGGUCAAGAUAUUGGUUGCACAAAUAACAAGUGAACAUGGGACAAGUUCUUCAAGGCGUGUUAAAGAGGACUACGCAAAGGGCAUCAUUGCCUUGAUCCCAUAUCUGGCUGAUCCUGGGAGCAAGUUUGGUUAUGAUGGGACAGUGACAUGUCCUCCAUUUUGGUCCUUGUCCACCUUCUGCCACCGUCACCUCAUGGCCCCAAGAGACCAGGAAAAAUCUCAGCCAGACACGCCAGUGACCACAUUGUGAAGUUUAUCAAGACUGGGACCAGCAUCCAGGGGCAUCUGGAGAGCAUCAUGGAAAGCCUUCAACCCUAUCUGCUUGCUGUGGGGACCCAGAGGAGUGUGAUUGACAAACAUGCAAUACCUUGUAAGUCACCAGACUCUCUUGCCUGUUUUGAUGAGCUCUUCAAAGCUCACUUUGUCUUUGGUACUUCGUACAACCAGGAUCUGGAAAAUGUGUACAACUUCUUGCAAACCACAAUUCAUGAAAUUGAUGUUGACACCGCUAAGGUUAAUCCUAGGGUUGCAGAGGUGAGGUCUCGGAUGCUUCAUUGAGUUACUAAACGUUUUGAAGUUGCAACGGGUUAAAACGCAGCGUAGGAAAUAACCUUUUUCAUUUCACACAACAUUUUUCAUAUGAUUCAUCUAAAAUGUUGUGUUUUGCUUGCAAAAGCCCCCAGGGAAAUGCUAAUUCCUUGACAAAACACUUGCAGUUGGUCCACAGACUUUGUCCAGGAAAGACACUUGGUCUUAAAUGCGGUCAGGCUGGUUGUUCACAAGUUUAUGUCACUUUUUCUGGGUUCAGAAAGCAUCUUUGUAAAGCACAUGAACCUUGUUCUGAUCAUGGUGAAGGCCCCUCUACAGCUGAAUAUGUAAGUUAUGACUAGUCGUUAAACAAGUUCCCCUUCUGACUCAGUCCUUGUCAAUAAGAGACUUGUAGACAGCUGUGCUGCAACCAUAGCUGAACUUAGUGGCAGGUGUUGGUGAAACCAUAGCUGAACUUAGUGGCAGGUGUUGGUGAAACCAUAGCUGAACUUAGUGGCAGGUGUUGGUGAAACCAUAGCUGAACUUAGUGGCAGGUGUUGGUGAAACCAUAGCUGAACUUAGUGGCAGGUGUUGGUGAAACCAUAGCUGAACUUAGUGGCAGGUGUUGGUGAAACCAUAGCUGAACUUAGUGGCAGGUGUUGGUGAAACCACCAUUAACUCUUUGGUCAUUUCCAUGGAAGAGAUAGUUGGUGAUAUUCAUAUUCAAGCUAAAGAAUCUGUGAAGAAGUGUCUGUCUAUACAAGUGACAUUGAGUGUAAAAUUGAUCAGUGUUAUGAAAAAAAUAGAAAGUCCUUUUGGUGUAUUAAAUUCUGAAAGUAAGAGAAGGCAGUAUUUUACAGAAGAGUGGGGAAUGGUAGACACAGUUGAAUACGUUCUUGGUACAAGAUUUGAUACAUGACGCAAUCGGACUACUGGAGGCUAUGAUCAAAUUGUUAUUACUGGUGAAUUUGUUUACAUCCCAUUUUUGAAAACAUUACAGUUUAUUUACAAUCACCCUGAUAUAAAGGAGAUGAUGCAGACGGAUUCCAGUUCAAAAGAACUUUAUGACUAAUGUGAUGGAGAUCUGUUCCAAGAGCCACGCUCUAUUUUCAGAACAGAAGCAAUUCAGAUACAGCUUUUCUCUGAUUUUGAAACUGCAAAUCCUCUUGGAUCAAAACGGGGAAUAGAUAAAUUAGGAGCAAUCUAUUUCACCUUAUGUAAUUUUUCUCCAAAGUUCAACUAAUUUCUGCUUAAUAUUCAUUUGGUUGCUUUAUGUCAUGCCCAAGAUGUUAAAACAUAUGGCUUUUCUAAAAUACUUGAUCCAAUUGUGCAGGAUAUUAAAGUACUUGAGAGGGAUGGAAUUAUGGUCCCCUUGUAUGAUCAACCAGUGUAUGGAACUAUGGUCCCCUUGUAUGAUCAACCAGUGUAUGGAACUAUGGUCCCCUUGUAUGAUCAACCAGUGUAUGGAACUAUGGUCCCCUUGUAUGAUCAACCAGUGUAUGGAACUAUGGUCCCCUUGUAUGAUCAACCAGUGUAUGGAACUAUGGUCCCCUUGUAUGAUCAACCAGUGUAUGGAACUAUGGUCCCCUUGUAUGAUCAACCAGUGUAUGGAACUAUUGUCCACGUUACAGGUGACAACCUUGGUCUUCACUGUUUAUUUGAUUUUGUUGAAUCAUUCAGUGCCAGAUAUUGUUGCCGCUUUUGUCUUGCUGAGAAAGAGGACUUUCAGACUGAAUUUGAUGAAGAUUCACCCAAGAUAGUUAUGCGAACUCGAGCACUGCAGAACACUGGUAAAAAAAAGAUUUGUCUUCCCUAUGUGAUGGGUGUUAAACGUUCUUGCAUUCUAAACUCCGUGCAGAACUUCAAUACAUGUGAAAACUUCUCUGUCGAUAUUAUGCUUGAUAUUUUGGAGGGAAGUUGCACAAUAUGAAAUGAAACUGCUAAUACUACACUUGAUAGACAAGUACACAACAUCAAAUGAAAUAGACAGCAGAAUAAAGAGCUUUAACUAUGGUUACAUGGAGCAAAACAACAAACCUCCUGCAGUGAAGUGAGGAGAGGACUCUAAUGACUUGGGGUUAAAUGCUAUUCAGUCCUGGUGUUUAGUUCCCAAUCUACCACUUAGCUUUGGAGACUUAGUUUGUCCAAAUGAUCUACACUGGUAUUUAUUGUUGCUUCAGAUAGUAAACAUAGUAUUUUCUCCAAUGAUAUCAAAGGGUAAUACAAUUUAUUUGAAACACUUAAAAUCGCAGGUAAUUGUUUCCAAAAAAAAGAGGCUGCUACCGAACCAUCAUUUUAUGGUGCAUUACCCCACAUGUAUGCUUAAAAUUGGACCAGUUUUGCAUAGCUGGUGCAUGUGGUAUGAAGCAAAGCAUAAUUUCUUUAAAAAGCUCCAAAAAUGUAACUAAAACAUUGGCAAAAAAACAGCAAAGUCAAAUGGCAUACAGUUGGCAGACAUUUGACACCAACAGAGUCAUGAUCGGUCCAGGUAAAAUGUUAUCUUUAAAUGUGGUGGACUAGGGUUGGCUGAGACUGGCUGGCAAUUUUAUUUUAUUAUCAUCAGUAUUUUGAUCUAUGUAUUGCAAAUGUCUUACAUUUAAGAAUAAAGUGCUUUACAAGAGUAAUUUUUACUUUA